rnacentral:rRNA from 1 species
AUUGAACGCUGGCGGCAUGCCUUACACAUGCAAGUCGAACGGCAGCACGGACUUCGGUCUGGUGGCGAGUGGCGAACGGGUGAGUAAUGUAUCGGAACGUACCUUUCAAUGGGGGAUAACGUAGCGAAAGUUACGCUAAUACCGCAUAUUCUGUGAGCAGGAAAGCAGGGGAUCGCAAGACCUUGCGCUGAUUGAGCGGCCGAUAUCAGAUUAGCUAGUUGGUGGGGUAAAGGCCUACCAAGGCUACGAUCUGUAGCGGGUCUGAGAGGAUGAUCCGCCACACUGGAACUGAGACACGGUCCAGACUCCUACGGGAGGCAGCAGUGGGGAAUGUUGGACAAUGGGGGCAACCCUGAUCCAGCCAUGCCGCGUGAGUGAAGAAGGCCUUCGGGUUGUAAAGCUCUUUCGGCCGGGAAGAAAUCGCAUAGGCUAAUACCUGGUGUGGAUGACGGUACCUUGAUAAGAAGCACCGGCUAACUACGUGCCAGCCGCCGCAGUAACAC